UUGGAGGUCUUCUAGUCCAACCCCCUGCCUAGGCAGGAAACCCUACACCACUUCAGACAAAUGGUUAUCCAACAUCUUCUUUAAAACUUUAGUGUUGGAACAUUCACAACUUCUGCAGGCAAGUUGUUCCACUGAUUAAUUGUUCUCACUGUCAGGAAAUUUUUCCUUAAUUCCAAGUUGCUUCUCUCCUUGAUUAGUUUCCACCCAUUGCUUCUUGUCCUACCCUCAGGUGCUUUGGAGAAUACCUUGACUCCUCUUCUUUGUGGCAGCCCCUGAGAUAUUGGAAUAUUGCUAUCAUGUCUCCCCUAGUCCUUCUUUUCAUUAAACUAGACAUACUGAGAUCCUGCAACCGUUCUUCAUAUGUUUUAGCCUCCAGUCCCCUAAUCAUCUUUGUUGCUCUUCUCUGCAUCCUUUCUAGAGUCUCCACAUCUGCAGUAUUCCAAAUAUGGCCUUACUAAGGCAUUAUAAAGUGGUAUUAACACUUCACAUGAUCUUGAUUCUAUCCCUCUGUUUGUGCAGCCUAGAAAUGUGUUGGCUUUUUUGGCAGCUGCUGCACACUGUUGGCUCAUAUUUAAAUGGUUGUCCACUAGGACUCCAAGUUCCCUCUCACAGUUACUACUAUUAAGCAUAUACUGUACCUGUGCAUUUUGUUUUUCUUGCCUAAAUGUAGAACCCUAACUUUUUUUACCAUUGAAUUUCAUUUUGUUAGAUAGUGCCCAAUGUUCAAGUCUGUCAAGAUCCUUCUGUAUCUUAAGCUUAUCUUCUGGAGUGUUGGCUAUUCCUGCCAGCUUGGUGUCAUCUGAAUAAUAACACAAUGGGUGAAACUGCUUUCAUUAUUUUGAUAAAAGCAGCAAACUCCUGGGCACUGCUGCAGGCAGAUUUCAACACUGACAGUCCAGGUGUGAAAUGAAAAUUUGUGCAAAACCCAAUAAAUGUACGUCUUCCUCUUCUGCUAACAAGAUAUUACAUCAAAAGUGUUACAGUGUGAAAAUACUCAAUAAUGAUCAAUAGCCUCAAAUGUGGCUUGAAUUGAACACUUUUUUUUUUCAUUUAAAGUCUUACAUUACCACACAUUGAACACAACAUCUAUAUAUUUUUAAAUUAAAAAGUGUAAUUAGUUAAAAAUUAUCAGGAUUAUAAAUAAACCCAGGUUCCUAAAAUAAAGCAAGAAGGCAAAAUGAAAUGAAGUGAAAGGAUACAUGUUGUGCUACUCUAAUGUUUUCUACAACUUCUUGCUAUAUUGUAUAUGUCAUUUUUACACCACAGUUCUCAAUUUGCCAUCAUAAUCAUGCUAAAAAAAAUUGUUGCUAAACAAAACAGUUAAUUUUUGCCCUACUUUACAACCUUUUUUGCCACAGAUGUUAAGUAAAUCAUUGCAGUUGUUAAAUUAACACAGUUAAGUAAAUCUGACUCCCCCACAAACUGCAACCCUCAUAUAUAUGAAACAGUUGCCUAGCAUUCUUAUUUUGAUCAGCAUGCUCAAUGGUUGUACAUGUGAAAAACAGUCGUAAGUAACUUUUUUCAGUUCCGUUGUAACUUUGAACAGUCACUAAAUGAAUGAUUAUAAAUCAAAAACUCCCUGUAUUAGAAUAGGCAAAUUUUACUGGCUACUCUAAUUUUCUGUGGAGACAGAAUGCAGUUACUAUUUAUUACCUAUUAUUUAAAAGAGUCAAUUAUACUAAAUCAACAAAAUGAACUUGGACAAAAUCAUUUUUCACUUGUCCUGGAACAUGUAGCUGUCAGAGAGUAACAGCGAAGAACCCAAUAUCAAUUUUAGCACUCCAUGUCAGUCUUUCUUAACCUGGUGCUCUUCAGGUGUGUUCAACUAUAAGUCUUAUCAAAGGGAACAUUGCACUUACAUAAUGACAUUGUGGUGAUAAUGAUACCAUGGAAGCGAUAGUUCUGCACAUCUUUCAGGACACCAUUUGCUUGAUUAUAAUGGCACUAGCUUCAAACACUGCUUCAGAAAGUUAUCACUGCUGCCGCAGUCCCUGAUGCAACACAUUUUUACUCCCAAAAUGGCCACACAGAAGGCAAGAUAGGAAAUAGUAAAACAAAGAAGAUGGAUGUCUAUGGGUAUUUUUUGUCAUUCGGGUCACAGCUGUCCCAAAGGGGGGGGGGUGUUUCUCCAAAAAGUCAACUGGACUUUUUUGGGUUUUUCCUCUGAAAAUGUUUCGCUUCUCAUCCAAGAAGCUUCUUCAGUUCUGAAAAAGGAGGAGGAUGUUUGGGAAGUACUGCAGUGACAAAGUCAUUGACAUGACCAAACUUCACUGAAAUCAAUUCAGGGCAUAAGUAAACACAAGCAUAAGCAGAGAGAAGAAAAGAAGAUGCAGUAAGCAUAAUUUAUCUUUUCUAUUAUUCUAGAAGGUUAAUGUUGGUAUUUAAGUAAGAUUAAAUAUGUCCUUACAAAUGACAUGUAACCAUGAGAUCAGGCUGCCCCUAAAAUUGCCGGCACCUGUUUUUUUUUCUCACUUGUUCUUUUCAAGGCCUCUCCUCAGCAUCAGCAAGGCAAAGCGAACUAUAAAAGCUCGCUGCAAAACAGCUGGGGGAGUAUUGGAGUAGCGGUAACUGUGAGUAGACUGCAGAAGAGAGAGAGAGAGGGAGGGAGAGAGAGAAGAAGAAGUAGUAAGUAAUGUGCUUUGUGUAUGUUUUUGUUGGCUCUUUUGUGUCUUAAAUCUACCAAAUUGGUUAUAGUUUAAAAGAACUCAUAUUCUUUUUAUUUAAAAAAAACACACCAAAAAUAAGUUCUUUUAUUAAUGCAUUUAGAGUUGGGUAAGAAGAAGAGUCAGAUCUUUAGUAUUAAAACAAAUAUGGAAAAGGUGGUAGUCUUAUAAAAGACUAUACAAGGACUGGGAAAAGCUUAUAGUUUGGAGAUUUUGGUGGUGGGCAAGGGAUGAGUUCAAAAGUUUUAUUUUUAUAAGUUACACUGUGAUCAGUCUGAAAUUGAAACAUGCCAAUGGAAAAACACAAAAUAAGCUGAAUUGUUUAUUAGUACCUUAACAAAUGACUGCAUGCCCAAAAAAAUUAAAUCUUUGAGGCUAUUAUUCAUAGCUCAGACAUUUACAUUCUAUGACUUUUUUCUACUCCAGGUCAAAAUACCCUCAACUGUACUUCUGAGAUCAAAAUUUUAUUUCCAUUUGCUAUCAUUCUGCCUCCAGGAGGCAUCAAACUAGAUGUGUGAUGCCAGCAGGGAUAUUCUGGGGGUUGAAAUCCACAUAUCUUCAAACUGCUAAGGUUUGAAAAAUACUGGUUUAAGAGAUCAUCUCAGUUUGGCAUUUAUUAGCCCAAGAAACUUUACUCAUUUUGCCAUUCCAGGGCUACAAACAGAAUAUAUUAAAGUCAUGUUAAAGUAUCAAUGUUAACAUGUUAAGAAACAAACAAAAUCCUAGAACUGUCUCUUAAAAUCUCUUAAAGUGUCUGCUUGAACAUAUGUUUAAUGCUAAACUAUAAUUUCCCUUCCAAAAGGCAGAAAACUAUAUCUCUACCUUUGCCCCAGACAGCUAUGAAUAAUAUUCAGAUAUGAAAAUAAGCUAAAGAAAUAUAGCUAUCCAUAUUCUUCUCUUUAAUUUUUGGGGCUUUCUUCAAUUAUUCCCAGAUGCUUUCAGGUACAUUAUAUUGCCAAUAUUUGUUAUACCUGCCUUUUAGUGAGUCCCAAUAUGACUUCUCUUCAAUUUACAAGGGAGAAGAAAAGAGAAGAGAACCAAUUUGUCAGCUGCAACUUUCAAUAUCCAAUUAAACUGAAAUUUUUAGCCUCUUCUCUGUUAUAGCUAUCUUUGCCAGUUAUUUAAAAUGUUAGAGCUUGCUGAGUUUUUAUUUACUGCUGACCAACGCUUGUCAAAUUGCUUUUUUAUAAAAACCAAUCACUUUUUUGAAGAAUAAAAGGGAGGGUUCUACUCGAGGGCUCACCUACACCUGCCUCCUAAUUGUUUUCGUAAGAAGUACCCAGCACAGUUUCCAUCGCUGAAGAAAGUGAGUCGGGCGGGUUAGAUUGUACGAUGCUGCUUUUAAAAAUAAUGGACAAAAUAUUUUCGUGACGAUACAUUCCUUUUUUCUCUCCCAGCUGCCUUCCGUCAACUCUAGAGGCUGUUCGGGGUAAGUUAGCUUCUUCAACGGUGCGACCCUACACAGUUCACCUGGGAAAGUUGAUCUCUCCCAUUUAGAGCGGGCGGGCGCUUCAAGACGGCUGAUUCUGAGACAGCCUGUUGCUGAGGUAGCGAGGUUCUCAGGAAAGGCAGGUAACUACAAUUCCUCCGCGGGACGCGUAGAGGAUGGUCUGAGGGUUUAUUUCCAUUCACUUGGUGACCGGCAAGAACGAACGCGUGAGUUACAAGGGGAACAGGUGAGAACCUAGCUUUGCCUUCCCUUCUAGCCCGCAGGCAGCUCCCACAGGUGUUGCCUGGGAGAAGCGCCCUGCUUCCAUCUCACGCUCUCGCUUCCCGGAAAAGAGGAAGGGGGGGUCUGUCGAGCGGCGCCCACCUAUCUUGCGGGGCCGAGUGUGUGCCGGUCCCAACAUCCUCCCCCCACCCGCCUUCCACCAGCGCCUUGUACUAAAGUCGCGGGAGGUGGAGGGUGGUAUUGGUGCUCAGUGAAAGGAACAGUUUCUUUGCGGCUCGGUUGCGCUGCAUGAGCUGGAACAGAGGUGGCUUUCAGCUCCGCGUUCUUGAAUAGUCCUGCCAGUAGAAGAGGAUUUCCGUCUGGUGUUUUCAAGAAUCCCUGCGGAUUUGCGUCUCACCGGUGGGUUCUUUAAUCCUAUAUGCGUCUCUUCGUAAAACAAUCCCCUGAACUCAGAGAAAAAUCUCCUUAAAUAUCUUUGGAUUUACAUCUGAACAAAGAUGCAUGGAGCUGCACUUCAAAUCUCAUGGGAGUUAAAACAACCUCCAUGAAAUAUGUACAUCAGCUUCCCCCACUAUCUUUUCAAUUGUUCUGAAAAAAAUCCUGCCCUCUUUUGACUUUUACCAUUCCUCAACAGCCUUCUUGCACAUAUAACAAGCAAGCAGGAAUACCACAGAACUCUUUUCUUCCGGGACUGUACUGAAAGACCCAGCAGAAAAGUAUAGUGGCAUGGACACAGCCCUUCUUGAACAAAACUGAUACUGAAAAAGUCUGCACCACACUUGAAAAAAAUCAAGUCCUUGAAAGAAAUUCGGACUGCCCCUUGCCCCCCUAACGGGGAAGGAAAGACCCGGACGCUUUCUG